rnacentral:lncRNA from 1 species
UCAAUGCCCCUUUCUCUUUGAAUUCUAGCAUAUCCAAUAAAGAUGCAAUCAAUACCUUUUCUCAUAAUGUCUUUCGUUUAGGAUUUUGGAGGCGACAAUGAUAGCUCGGGGUUUCUUUGAUUAAGGUAAACCCACUCUUAACCUUCAGUUCAUCUCGUCUUCCUCCCUUUAUCCUAGAUUCGGUUGGAUUUGAUUUUGUAACAAGAGCGAUGAUUCUCUCUUAGCAGUCGAAAAUCCGAGGGCGAUGAAGGCCAGAAUCCGUCGCUGGCCAUGGAUUUUCCUCCGAUCUACUCUCUCAGCAUUUGACUGAAGAAUACGGAUGGUGAGUCGCUCAACUCUCCCUAAUCUUAAUCAUCUCUCGCUCGAAUGCUUAGAGGUUGGAUGAUGAUAUUAGUAAUGAUGCUUACUAGCCUCUGUACAGCAGCCUCCACUGCCCUUAUGUGGGUCUCCCGAUUCACAGUCGUCACCCUCUUUCUCCUGGAACCCUCAUCUGCGAAUUUCAUAGUCGCCGUUCCAUCCCAAAUUCAAUACUAAAUCGAAGAUCCCAGCUCUUGAUUGCCUUCGCCUCUCGACUCCAUCACAGUUGCAUCGGGACGCGAUCAUGCAUAGAUCGAUUCCCUCAUUUUAAGGUAAGCUCGGUUUCCCCCUCUGCUUGCAAUGAUUCUAAUUUGAACUAUGAUCUUUCUAACGAUCCUCGCCUCUUCUUUCCCAGUUCAGUUCGAUGUGGAAAUUCCGCCGGUAUCUUGGAGGGUCAAAGGCUUUACCAGCGACGCCAUGUCAGGUCUGAACUUGUACUCUCGUCAGUUUUUUUUAUUUAGAUUAAUCUUCUCUUUGAAGGAUUUUACGGUUAUUUCCCCAGGUGUGUAAAGAACACAGCGGGUUUGCUGUUCUAGUUGAUCAAGCGAUGUGUGCGGUUCUCAGUGAUCCUGAAAAAGAACAAGGUAAUGUAUUCUACGCUCUUCCUCUCCUCUCGAUUCCUAUCCCGAUGUAUCUAUGUAUCUCUGUUAUGAAUCCCUUCCUACCUUCUAAUUUUUCAAUAGGCUAUUCGAAGUGAAGAAGGCUGGUUAUGGACCAGAGGGAGCACGAGGAAUGGAGGACAACAAAACUUGAUGUCUGAGGGCUCCAUGAAAGUGAGGAAGGGGGGUCGAGAUUUAACUAGGGGGCGAAACUAGAAGGGCGGCCAGACAAGGUCAACAACACAGAGGUAAUACUCAAAAUUAUAAGCUCGGAUAGACAUGUGAUCGAGUAUUGCUUGUCCUUCUCAGCAACAAAGACUCGUGUGUAUUUUAUCGAGAUAAAAUUGGUCUACUUAGUCUUGAUUGGAAUGUCGAUUUGGCUGUUCAGGACAGGAGCAACUAAAGUGUGUUUGCAUCCAUGUUUUUUUCAUGGAAUAAAUAUACUAUCCUAUCUCAUUAAAGAAUCUAUGAUUACCAUGAUUCAUGUAUGCAGGCUAGGACUCGUAAAACCAAUGUUAUUCAAUUGGGCAUUCAUGAGUUGGCAUUAACCCAUCAUAUGUAUUUGCCAAACAAUCUGAAUUGCAUGUUUUGAUAUGACCAUCGUGGUGAAGAGCGAAGCUGGACCAAGAGAAGAUGAAGGACCAGGAUCGAGAACCUAGAAUCAUCAUGAAAGACCAACACAAAAAGAAGAAACAUAGAAAAUAGUACACAAUAAUAGUCAAAGGGAGUCCACAAUUUCCAAACAAGCAUCCAAAAUAACAAACAUCCACAAACUGUCAUAAAACACAACACAACACAAGUCUAGUCACACAAAAGAAACACAAACAAACCAUCAAGUCUAAAAAAAAGAGAGAGAGACAAAGGAACAUCACUCGAACAAUGGUGGAGGUGGUGGUGGCUGCUAGGAUGGGAAAUGGGGAUAAUACCCAUAGUAGCUUACCUCCGCGCUCAGAUGGUGGUAAUACCAUUGAUGUCCAUCUCUCGAAUCUUGGAAGUGGUCUUGUGGUGGGGGAGAGUAGUCGGGAUAGUGUUGAGGAAGUAAGAGUACACGUUCUGAUAUUUGGCCAUGUGGCCAGUCUGCCAACCCUACUUCUGUUGGAUCCAGUGCAUCUCCAUCUAUACUAUCUGAAUCUACUCCCCAACCCUCUAGAAAUUGCUACUCGUCUCACCUCUAAAGGCAUCAAAGUCGCUUCAUAACCCACUCAUAUCCUGUCUGAUGUACCCCAACUGCUCAUCAUGUGACUUCCUGAACUACUUAUCUCUCUGUGCCUCAUACUGAGCUCUCUCAUCAGAACACUAUUGAUGGAUAGCAAGAUGCUCCAUGACAGCCUGCAGAUCGGACAAAUACCCGAGCUGAAGUUGCGGUGUCGAUCUCCUUAACAAGCAAGUCCUGAACUCCAUUCCUUAGUAAUUAAUCCGGGUAGAAGUCAUAAGGUGGAGUCUCGAAGAUGCCCAACACUCCAUAAUUACGGACUGACAAGCUAACAUACCCUCCUUUGUAUAGUACGACAUGCAUUGAGUAGCUCUUCAAUUGCUUGAAGAGAGUGAGAACCAAGUCUCCCAAAUGCAUAUCGAUCUUAUCCUAGCAAUAGAAGAUGUACAUGUCUCGGUUAGUGAGCGCACUUGGAGAGCUUGAAGACGAACGGUGCGAGAUACCGUGGCGAGCAAACAGAUGGAUGAGACGAAGCAUUGGCUUGUGGGUUCGCAGCGCCUUAAAGACCCCAACUACAAACUGAGGCGCGUCUUUGAUAAUGCUACACCAAAAACCCUGCACAUCAUAGAGGGGGAGUCCGGAAACCAUGGCAAGACAAGCCAGCUUACCAUUGUUCAGCUCCUCAUUUGAAUGGAACCUGAGCAUUACCCCAAACUCAUGUGGGAACACUGUGUACAGCCUCCCUCCCAAGCGGAAGGAGACCACCCUCUGAGAGGUGGAAGUGUAUCUCCCGAUGUCAAGUGUGUAGAAGAACUCACGAACCGCGCGAGGAUAUGAAUACUCCUUCACCAUCAUCGCCCUCCAAAUAUUCUUGGUCCUCUUGUAAUAGGAAUGAAAGGGGAACAAGCCUGCUAGUUAACUCCUCAAAAACUAAGUGCCCCUGUUUGGAAACAGAAAGGUGUUGGAGAGUCGCAUAGAGCUUCCAAGACAUAAAGCAUCAAUCGCGAGGUUUUACGGAUCGACGGGCUCAGUAGGAGCUUCAAACAUGUGGUACUGCUGAGGUGGAACUGCAGGUGAGGAAGUACCUUGAGUCGUUUGCCCUGAGGAAGAAGAAUUCUCAUUUCCACUAUGCCUCUUGUUACACUUGGUAGACUUACCUUUAGGAGACAUCCUGAAAAAUAGUCAGCAAAUGUAGACUGCAAAUUGGGAAACAGGAUUCGGGAUUUCCCGUUUCCGUUCCCGUAUUAUUGAAAAAAAACUCGGGAAUUCCCAUUCCCAUUACCAAACUCAAAAUUCGGGUUUGGUUGGGGAAUAAAAUUUCAUGUUCGGUUUUUUGGUUCGAUUCUGGGAUUCCCAAAAUCCCAAAGUUUCUUAUUAUUUUCUAUUAUCGACAAAAGAAAAAACAUCGUAUAAGAAAUGAUUGAUUCAUACGUUAGGGCAUAGCUCAUUUUCGCUUCAAGACUGAAAUUACGGUUCGUGAAACCGAGAGGCCGAGAGUCCCCAUGUCCCUCAAUGGUGAUUCCCGAUGAUUCCCUCGACGGUUCAACCCCUCCUCUCUAGGGUGGCGAUUCCCAGUCUAGACGUCGGAUUCUUCUUCUUUUGCUACGAUGAUUCCCAACGAUUCCCUCAUUGUUCUGGAAUCUGAUUUAAGGUGAGAACACAUCUCCAACCCACUAUGGGUUUUAUUGUGAGGUUUUGAUUGUUUCUUAUUUCUUUGCGUAACAGUGGUCAUCGUCGAUUUGUACAGGUGCGGCUGUUGAUUCUGCGAACACACCUCUACUACUUUCGUCGGUGAACAACAUUCAAUUGAGGUGUGAAUAAUGAUUGAUUUAUGCUCCACUUUGGUUUUUGAUUAACUCUACAAUAGCUUUCUAUCUGCUAUCUCAAUUGUAAAAUCCUGCCAAAAGACAUUACAUUACAAGGAUGGCUUGUAAAAUCUAAGAAUAUAUGCUAAUGGCUUCAGUUAAAAUCAGGGUGAGUAUUGAGCUUGCUUCACUACUGUCUAUUGAAUACUCAGAACUGAAUUUUGGUCUUUCUUCAUCCCACUUAACUAUCUCCCUCGCAUAUUUAAGAGAUGAGUUGAUAGUGUCAGAUGCUAUAGAUUAUAUUGAUCCUGGGCCUAGUCGAAUAUGAUAAAGAUGAAGAGGGUGAAAAUGAAUAUGUUGAUUCUGUAAGUAUUCUUAAAUUUAUUUAUAGUUAGUAGAAUGGAAUAGUGCUCGAUAUUGUGACUGUGACUGAAUUCUGGCUGUUUGUUUUUCAAUUCUAUUUCUUGGUAUUGCAAUGGUUUUGCAUCACUCAUUUAAGAUAUAUGAGACUGUUGCAGUUUAUAGUUUCAAAACACAU